rnacentral:rRNA from 1 species
UAGAUACCCCGGUAGUCCUGCGCCGUAAACGUUGAACACUGGAUGUCGGGGGUAUCGACCCCCUCGGUGUCGGCGAGCUAACGCGUUAAGUCGUUCCGCCUGGGGAGUAUCGACAAGCAAGGUUGAAACUCAAAGGAAUUGACGGGGGCCACGCAACAAGCGAUGGAGGAUGUGGAUUAAUUCGAAGCAAAGCGAAGAACACUUACCUGGGAUUUAACACGCAGGGUAAACCCUCUGAAAGGAGGGUUGCUUAGGCAAUCCAGUAGAGGUGCUGCAUGGCUGUCGUCAGCUCGUGUCGUGAGAUUUUGGGUUAAGUCCCGCAACGAGCGCAAACCCUUGCUCUUAGUUACACAGCAGCGUAAUGGCGGGGACUCUAAGAGGACUGCCCUCGCAAGGGGGAGGAAGGUGGGGAUGACGUCAAGUCAUCAUGGCCCUUAUGUCCAGGGCUACACACGUCCUACAAUGGCCGGUACAAAGGGCUGCAAGCUCGCGAGAGUUAGCUAAUCCCAGAAAGCCGGUCCCAGUUCGGAUUGCAGUCUGCAACUCGACUGCAUGAAGGUGGAAUCGCUAGUAAUCGUGGAUCAGCAUGCCACGGUGAUACGUUCCCGGGCAUUGUACACACCGCCCGUCACAUCACGAAAGUCGGUGUACCGGAAGUCGCUGAGCCAACCCGCAAGGGAGGCAGGCGCCGAUGGUAUGACCG